GCAACUAUAGCUUAAAAUAAAGCAUUGGUCUUGUAAGCCAAAGAUAGAUAAAAUUUCUUAGUUGCU
rnacentral:tRNA from 1 species